rnacentral:rRNA from 1 species
AUUGAACGCUGGCGGCAGGCCUAACACAUGCAAGUCGAACGGUAACAGGAAGACGCUUGCUUCUUUGCUGACGAGUGGCGGACGGGUGAGUAAUGUCUGGGAAACUGCCUGAUGGAGGGGGAUAACUACUGGAAACGGUAGCUAAUACCGCAUAACGUCGCAAGACCAAAAAGGGGGACCUUCGGGCCUUUUGCCAUCGGCUGUGCCCAGAUGGGAUUAGCUAGUAGGUGGGGUAACGGCUCACCUAGGCGACGAACCCUAGCUGGUCUGCGAGGAUGACCAGCAACACUGGAACUGAGACACGGUCCAGACUCCUACGGGAGGCAGCAGUGGGGAAUAUUGCACAAUGGGCGAAAGCCUGAUGCAGCCAUGCCGCGUGUAUGAAGAAGGCCUUCGGGUUGUAAAGUACUUUCAGCGGGGAGGAAGGGAGUAAAGUUAAUACCUUUGCUCAUUGACGUUACCCGCAGAAGAAGCACCGGCUAACUCCGUG